rnacentral:lncRNA from 1 species
CAUGGUUAGUCUUUAUUUGAGGAUAGCUUGGUUGGAGGCAUGGCUGAGAAGCCAGGUGACAGAAAAUCAUAAAGACAAGGCCCUAGACAGGUGUGCAUGAGUGGAUCCUGUGCUGGGCAUAUGAGGGUCUGGUAUGGCUCUUCUGAAAAGUUGCAGAUAAUAAUACAAGAAGGCUUCCUAGUAGAUUAGAUUUUGCUACAGACGACAUUGUUCUUGUAAGGGACCCAGGCAGAUUGGUAUUUUCCCUGGAAUAAAUAUAGACCUAUUUCAGGGGGGAAUGCAUUCUUAAUUGGCAAUUCUUCUCUGGCCCUGUGGGAAGUAGAUCAGCUCUAGCUGGGCCGUAUGAGUUGUAUCUCAGGCACAGAGUAGUUGCUUGAGCCCAGCAGCUCCCAAUGCGUUAUGGAGAUUAUUGUCUCUGGUUUCACCAGGUACUGUUUCCCAUAGGACCUGGAGAUGAGCAGUCCUGCCUCGGUGACUUCAGGUCAACCAUCAUGUCAAAAAGGAAGGUCAUGGAAGGGACCUGAGCUGAGCGACCUUUAGGAGCAUUUCCUGUUCUUUUCCUGUACUCUGCUGCCAAGGAGAAAUCUGUCUUUCACCAGGCUUGCAGCUUUCUCCGUUACCCACAUCAUCAGGCAAUAUCUGUCUGGCACCCCUCUUUGUUCCCUUUCUCUGGCCUUCCUUUUUGACAUGAUGGUUGACCUGAAAUCACCAAGGCAGGACUGCUCAUCUCCAG